AGAGUUUGAUCAUGGCUCAGAUUGAACGCUGGCGGCAGGCCUAACACAUGCAAGUCGAACGGUAACAGGAAACAGCUUGCUGUUUCGCUGACGAGUGGCGGACGGGUGAGUAAUGUCUGGGAAACUGCCUGAUGGAGGGGGAUAACUACUGGAAACGGUAGCUAAUACCGCAUAACGUCGCAAGACCAAAGAGGGGGACCUUCGGGCCUCUUGCCAUCAGAUGUGCCCAGAUGGGAUUAGCUAGUAGGUGGGGUAACGGCUCACCUAGGCGACGAUCCCUAGCUGGUCUGAGAGGAUGACCAGCCACACUGGAACUGAGACACGGUCCAGACUCCUACGGGAGGCAGCAGUGGGGAAUAUUGCACAAUGGGCGCAAGCCUGAUGCAGCCAUGCCGCGUGUAUGAAGAAGGCCUUCGGGUUGUAAAGUACUUUCAGCGGGGAGGAAGGGAGUAAAGUUAAUACCUUUGCUCAUUGACGUUACCCGCAGAAGAAGCACCGGCUAACUCCGUGCCAGCAGCCGCGGUAAUACGGAGGGUGCAAGCGUUAAUCGGAAUUACUGGCGUAAAGCGCACGCAGGCGGUUUGUUAAGUCAGAUGUGAAAUCCCCGGGCUCAACCUGGGAACUGCAUCUGAUACUGGCAAGCUUGAGUCUCGUAGAGGGGGGUAGAAUUCCAGGUGUAGCGGUGAAAUGCGUAGAGAUCUGGAGGAAUACCGGUGGCGAAGGCGGCCCCCUGGACGAAGACUGACGCUCAGGUGCGAAAGCGUGGGGAGCAAACAGGAUUAGAUACCCUGGUAGUCCACGCCGUAAACGAUGUCGACUUGGAGGUUGUGCCCUUGAGGCGUGGCUUCCGGAGCUAACGCGUUAAGUCGACCGCCUGGGGAGUACGGCCGCAAGGUUAAAACUCAAAUGAAUUGACGGGGGCCCGCACAAGCGGUGGAGCAUGUGGUUUAAUUCGAUGCAACGCGAAGAACCUUACCUGGUCUUGACAUCCACGGAAGUUUUCAGAGAUGAGAAUGUGCCUUCGGGAACCGUGAGACAGGUGCUGCAUGGCUGUCGUCAGCUCGUGUUGUGAAAUGUUGGGUUAAGUCCCGCAACGAGCGCAACCCUUAUCCUUUGUUGCCAGCGGUCCGGCCGGGAACUCAAAGGAGACUGCCAGUGAUAAACUGGAGGAAGGUGGGGAUGACGUCAAGUCAUCAUGGCCCUUACGACCAGGGCUACACACGUGCUACAAUGGCGCAUACAAAGAGAAGCGACCUCGCGAGAGCAAGCGGACCUCAUAAAGUGCGUCGUAGUCCGGAUUGGAGUCUGCAACUCGACUCCAUGAAGUCGGAAUCGCUAGUAAUCGUGGAUCAGAAUGCCACGGUGAAUACGUUCCCGGGCCUUGUACACACCGCCCGUCACACCAUGGGAGUGGGUUGCAAAAGAAGUAGGUAGCUUAACCUUCGGUAGGGCGCUUACCACUUUGUGAUUCAUGACUGGGGUGAAGUCGUAACAAGGUAACCGUAGGGGAACCUGCGGUUG
rnacentral:rRNA from 1 species